rnacentral:rRNA from 1 species
CGGAGGGUGCGAGCGUUGUUCGGAAUUAUUGGGCGUAAAGCGCGCGCAGGCGGCUUUUCAAGUCCACGGGUGAAAUGCCGGGGCUCAACCCCGAGCACGCCCAGGAUACUGGGAAGCUGGAGACACGUAGAGGCAAGCGGAAUUCCGGGUGUAGCGGUGGAAUGCGUAGAGAUCCGGAAGAACACCGGAGGCGAAGGCGGCUUGCUGGGCGUGAUCUGACGCUCGAGGCGCGAAAAGCGUGGGGGAGCGAACAGGAUUAGAUACCCUGGUAGUCCACGCCGUAAACGAUGGGCACUGGAUGCGGGGGGGGAUCGGGCCCUCUCCGUGUCGCAGCUUACGCGUUAAGUGCCCCGCCUGGGGAGUACGGCCGCAAGGCUG